CCGGACACCGAAGCGAAAACAAAAAAAGUAUGGAAACAAGAACAACACUACAAGCACUUGAAUCCAAAGCGAAUCAUAAGUUCGCAGCAAGCAACACCAACAAAACACCGCAGCAACAACAAAAUCAAGAGCCAAAUAUUUAACAUAUAAGAUUUACGUUUAAACUACUUUGUAAGUUAAGCAAGCACACCAGAAACAAACUAGCAGAGAUAGCAUAUAGAUGAUUUCGACCCCGAAGUAUCCCAGAAACCUCAAGAACAUCUGGAUGGUAAACAGAGGAAGAGAGAGAGCUUACCACAACGUAAACUUAAGUUUAGACUUAAAAACGAAAGCGUAGUACGAGUUAUGAAUACGUAUGCCAGCGUUUUACGUAUUCAACCGAAAUCUGUGGAUUGCUUGGAGUCACCAUUAAUCAUUGAUGGCAAUCAUCAUCUAUGGAAGCAAGAACACCGCCAAAACAAAUACUGUAAAUCACACAUAGAACUAAUCACGACCAUAGGAAGAUGACGAUACGAGCAAGUUGUCCGGGCGGAUCGCAUGCUUCCUUGUGGAUAUUUCUAUUUUUUUUUUUUUUUUGCUGAACUCAAAUUCAGUUCUGCCCAAGCAAACCAAAAUUCUCAAGUAAAAACACGAGGAGAGGAGGAGACCAGAGAAACACACUAGGAUAGUUACCAAUUAUCUGAAAAACAACUGAUUAACUUCUUGUAUUUUCAUAUCAAUUUUUUUUUGUUUUCGCUCUAAGUUCUACAUACUAAAUACAUAUACAUAAAUACAUAUACAUAAAUACAUACAUAAGCGCUUUGUGUGGAGCAUAACAAACAAAACGAAAAACGUUUGAAUACGAUUAUAAUUAUAUUAUAAUACACACACAAACACACACACAAAUACCUAUAUCUGGUCACUUCUAACCAAUUAUAACAAAACUGAAAAAACAGCAA